CGACAACUUAGACAACUACUAACGAUAAAAGAGUUUUUAAAACGGCGUUUCUCCUUAUGUAAAUCAUGAAUUAAGGGAGAAUUCUGGUCUAGAAACUAACUGAGACAAGUAAUAUUGACUGAAUCAUUUAGAGUUAAUUGGUAUCUAGUUGAAACAGUGGCAUGUCUGCACCGCGCUAACCGCCGGCUCCGAUCUAGCAGAAAACCACACAAGUUUUUUUAUCAUAACUUGCUAUUGGUAAUAUAUUUUGCCUUAAUGUAUUGCCAUUACUGGCUUGAGGAUUACAGCUGCCCGAUAAUCUAUGCUGUUACGUUAAUUUGAUAAGAAAGCAAAGAGACCGUUCUCAUAUUAGACAUAAACAUGUUAACUUGCGAGCGUGAAGGGGCUUAGAAAAUAAUCGCUUAGAAACUUUACGCAAGGUGGUAUCUUUUAAAAGUUAAUGUAGUUCUGCAUACAUAUAUAUGAUAAGUCCAUGUCACAACGUUAAACAAGUUAUUUUGCCCACAAAUUUCGACCCUCGACUUUUUUUGACCCUCGACUUUUUUUGACCCUCGACUUUUUACCCUCACCCUCGACUUUUUACCCUCACCCUCGACAUUGGACCCUCGACACUCGACCCUCGACAAAAACCUAAACUCC